rnacentral:rRNA from 1 species
AGUGAACGCUGGCGGUAGGCCUAACACAUGCAAGUCGAACGGCAGCACAGUAAGAGCUUGCUCUUACGGGUGGCGAGUGGCGGACGGGUGAGGAAUAAAUCGGAAUCUACUUUUUCGUGAGGGAUAACGUAGGGAAACUUACGCUAAUACCGCAUACGACCUACGGGUGAAAGCAGGGGAUCUUCGGACCUUGCGCGAUUGAAUGAGCCGAUGUCGGAUGAGCGAGUUGGAGGGGUAAAGGCGCACCAAGGCGACGAUCCGUAGCUGGUCUGAGAGGAUGACCAGCCACACUGGAACUAAGGCAAGGUCCAGACUCCUACGGGAGGCAGCAGUGGGGAAUAGUGGACAAAGGGCGCAAGCCUGAUCCAGCCAUACCGCGUGGGUGGAGAAGGCCUUCGGGUUGUAAAGCCCUUUUGUUGGGAAAGAAAAGCAGCAGGUUAAUACCCCGCUGUUCUGACGGUACCCAAAGAAGAAGCACCGGCUAACUUCGUG